UCCUUUCUCCCAAUUUUGAUACUUUUAUUCUUUUAACUUUGUCAGAUUUAUCAGAGUUACAACAAUUGCUUCUGCAUUCUGAAACCAUAAUUAUCUCAGAGGUUUAGCAGUGUUCCUGUGUCUAAGUGGAUUCUGUGCUCCCCACCUGACCCAUUUCUAUGACUUCAGAAUAACAGGGCAUUUUAUUUCAAUUCAUCCUGUAGUGAGUGAGAUUUCACCAUCAAGAAGAUUCUUCAAAAUGGCUCAUAGAUGCUGUAUUUUCUGAGUCCUUUCAUGUCUGAAAAUACAUUCCUUUGUGUUGGAACCAACUGCUGCUGGAAAGACAUCCGAGACCUGACCUAUUUUUGUCUUUCUAUGCCACAUGGCUUGUGGGAUCUUGGUUCCCGGCCAAGGAUCUAGCUGAGGCCCACAACAGUGAGAGCACUGGAUCCCAACCACUGGACCACCAGGGAAUUCCUUUU